UGCCAGCCGCCGCGGUAAUACGGAGGGUGCAAGCGUUGCUCGGAAUCACUGGGCGUAAAGCGAACGCAGGCGGAUAUUUAAGUCGGGUGUGAAAGCCCGGGGCUCAACCCCGGAACUGCAUUCGAAACUGGAUGUCUUGAGUACGGGAGAGGGAAGCGGAAUUCCUGGUGUAGAGGUGAAAUUCGUAGAUAUCAGGAGGAACACCCGUGGCGAAAGCGGCUUCCUGGCCCGAUACUGACGCUCAUGUUCGAAAGCGUGGGGAGCAAACAGGAUUAGAUA
rnacentral:rRNA from 1 species